GGGUCGUUAGCUCAGUCGGUAGAGCAGUUGACUUUUAAUCAAUUGGUGGGGCGUUCGAGUCGCCCACGACCCACCA
rnacentral:tRNA from 1 species